GAUGAAGAACUUAGUGAAAUGCGAUAAGUAAUGUGAAUUGCAGAAUUCAGUGAAUCAUCGAAUCUUUGAACGCAUCUUGCGCUCCUUGGUAUUCUGAGGAGCAUGCCUGUUUGAGUGUCAUUAAAUUCUCAACCGCACUGACUUUGAAUUGGUGUGGCUUGGAUUUGGGGGGAAAAUUGUUGUGGGCUUUUUUGUAUAGUCUGCUCCCCUGAAAUUGAUUAGCGGUACCUUUGUGGAACUGUCUACAGGUGUGAUAAUUAUCUACAUCCUAGACAUCUGCUGGAAUGCUGCUUUCUAAACCUUACUUGUAUUGACAAUCUUGACCUCAAAUCAGGUAGGACUACCCGCUGAACUUAAGCAUAUCAAUAAGCGGAGGA
rnacentral:misc_RNA from 1 species